CGUUGGUGAGAGUGGAAAGCUCAUCAAGUGACGGUAACUACCCAGAAAGGGACGGCUAACUACGUGCCAGCAGCCGCGGUAAUACGUAGGUCCCGAGCGUUGUCCGGAUUUAUUGGGCGUAAAGCGAGCGCAGGUGGUUUAUUAAGUCUGGUGUAAAAGGCAGUGGCUCAACCAUUGUAUGCAUUGGAAACUGGUAGACUUGAGUGCAGGAGAGGAGAGUGGAAUUCCAUGUGUAGCGGUGAAAUGCGUAGAUAUAUGGAGGAACACCGGUGGCGAAAGCGGCUCUCUGGCCUGUAACUGACACUGAGGCUCGAAAGCGUGGGGAGCAAGCAGGAUUAGAUACCCUGGUAGUCCACGCCGUAAACGAUGAGUGCUAGAUGUAGGGAGCUAUAAGUUCUCUGUAUCGCAGCUAACGCAAUAAGCACUCCGCCUGGGGAGUACGACCGCAAGGUUGAAACUCAAAGGAAUUGACGGGGGCCCGCACAAG
rnacentral:rRNA from 1 species